AGGUGCUACCUAAGUCAGUGCACCACCACACACCUGUCACAGAUCACCUGUGUAUACCUUCAGCUGGGCACACAGGUGCUACUCCACCACACACUUGUCACAGAUCACCUGUAUAUACCUUCAGCUGAGCACACAGGUGCUACUCCACCACACACCUGUAUCAGAUCACCUGUAUAUAC